GACGAACCGUGCGAACGUUGUUCGGAAUCACUGGGCUUAAAGGGCGCGUAGGCGGGCCGUCAGGCCCGCGGUGAAAUCCCCCGGCUCAACCGGGGAAGUGCCGCGGGGACCGGCGGUCUGGAGUGAGAUAGGGGCGUGCGGAACUGUGGGUGGAGCGGUGAAAUGCGUUGAUAUCAUCAGGAACACCAGUGGCGAAGGCGACCCACUGGGUCAUUUCUGACGCUGAGGUACGAAAGCUAGGGUAGCGAACGGGG
rnacentral:rRNA from 1 species